AUAUCUUUUCUGACGUUUUGACUAAUAUAAAGUGUAGUAUUUGUUUUUAUCAGUUAUUUAAUAUCUGAUAUGUGGACUAUAUGUUCACUUUGAUAUUAAAUUUAUAUUUUAUGAGUAUCAAAUAUGAUUGUAACGUACGAGUAUUGUACUAGCAAGUGUAAUAAUCGAGAUCCAUCCCAA
rnacentral:snRNA from 1 species